UAAAAGGGCUUCUGUCAUGAGUAGCACAUGUGGGGCAACUCAACUGCUCUUGGUGCAGAAUCGACAUCAAGAGAUUUCAGAAGCAUUAUUUUUUGGUAAUUGGGCAGUUGGUGAUCAUUGGUCCCAGCGCCCGU